UAAGACAGCUGAAUGAUAUCGGGCUAAAGACUCUACUUGACUAGCUGAGAGGAGGUGCAUGGCCGUCGUCAGUUCGUACUGUGAAGCAUCCUGUUAAGUCAGGCAACGAGCGAGACCCACGCCAACAGUUGCCAGCAUGUCCUCCGGGAUGAUGGGGACACUGUUGGGACCGCCUCUGCUAAAGAGGAGGAAGGAAUGGGCAACGGUAGGUCAGCAUGCCCCGAAUUAUCCGGGCUACACGCGGGCUACAAUGGUCAGGACAAUGGGUAUCGACACCGAGAGGUGGAGGCAAUCUCCUAAACCUGUCCUUAGUUCGGAUUGUGGGCUGCAACUCGCCCACAUGAAGCUGGAAUCCGUAGUAAUCGCGUUUCAACAGAACGCGGUGAAUAUGUCCCUGCUCCUU
rnacentral:rRNA from 1 species